rnacentral:tRNA from 2 species
GCGCUCGUGGCGGAAUUUCAGGUAGACGCGCCCGGUUCAAAACCGGGUGCCCACAACGGGGCGUGCAGGUUCGACCCCUGCCGAGCGCACCA